rnacentral:rRNA from 1 species
GACGAACGCUGGCGGCGUGCCUAAUACAUGCAAGUAGAACGCUGAAGAGAGGAGCUUGCUCUUCUUGGAUGAGUUGCGAACGGGUGAGUAACGCGUAGGUAACCUGCCUUGUAGCGGGGGAUAACUAUUGGAAACGAUAGCUAAUACCGCAUAACAAUGGAUGACACAUGUCAUUUAUUUGAAAGGUGCAAUUGCUCCACUACAAGAUGGACCUGCGUUGUAUUAGCUAGUAGGUGAGGUAAUGGCUCACCUAGGCGACGAUACAUAGCCGACCUGAGAGGGUGAUCGGCCACACUGGGACUGAGACACGGCCCAGACUCCUACGGGAGGCAGCAGUAGGGAAUCUUCGGCAAUGGGGGCAACCCUGACCGAGCAACGCCGCGUGAGUGAAGAAGGUUUUCGGAUCGUAAAGCUCGGUUGUAAGUCAAGAACGGGUGUGAGAGUGGAAAGUUCACACUGUGACGGUAGCUUACCAGAAAGGGACGGCUAACUACGUG